rnacentral:rRNA from 1 species
AUGAUGGCCAUGGUGUGCAGGGUGGACAUGUGGCCGUACAUCUCGGCGGACAUGUGCGGGGGCGGCGGCCUGGGGCGCAUGAAGCAUUCCUCCAGCUCCUGCAGCUUGGCCACCAGCAGGACCAGCCGCCGGAGCGGCACGAAGAUGAGCGUCAUUGGGAUGAUGCACGCCCCCAGCUCCAGUAUCAGCAUGCCUGCUCAAGUAGCUCCACGCCUUCUCUUCUCGCCUGUCAAUCUCUUCUCGCCCAGGCUUCUCGACGGUUGCUGUGGCUUUGCAGGCUUCCCUCCCUUUCGCUUCUCCACGGAGCAAGAUAGCAACUGGGUCGCCGUGUGCUCCCUACUCCACGGGCGAGGUAGCUUUCUUCGUUGCUUGGGUAAGUGCCGUUGCUUUGCCUUGUGGAGUUGCAGUUGGGGGGUUGCUUGCAUAUAUAGCCUUCUUUUCGGCAAAGAAAACGCUCUCUUAUCUCUACCCUGUUGCUCAUUGGCGUACGUACGAUGGCGCUUAUUUUACAUCCCCUGGCCUCUAAUGAUUGUUGUCAGUGCGUUUUUUUUGUAA